rnacentral:rRNA from 1 species
GUGGGGAAUCUUAGACAAUGGGCGCAAGCCUGAUCUAGCCAUGCCGCGUGAGCGAUGAAGGCCUUAGGGUUGUAAAGCUCUUUCGCUGGGGAAGAUAAUGACUGUACCCAGUAAAGAAGCCCCGGCUAACUCCGUGCCAGCAGCCGCGGUAAUACGGAGGGGGCUAGCGUUGUUCGGAAUUACUGGGCGUAAAGCGCGCGUAGGCGGAUUGGAAAGUUGGGGGUGAAAUCCCGGGGCUCAACCUCGGAACUGCCUUCAAAACUCCCAGUCUUGAGUUCGAGAGAGGUGAGUGGAAUUCCGAGUGUAGAGGUGAAAUUCGUAGAUAUUCGGAGGAACACCAGUGGCGAAGGCGACUACCUGGACUGAUACUGACACUGAGGUGCGAAAGCGUGGGGAGCAAACAGGAUUAGAUACCCGAGUAGUCC